UGGGGAAUAUUGCACAAUGGGCGAAAGCCUGAUGCAGCAAAGCCGCGUGAGUGAUGAAGGUCUUCGGGUUGUAAAGCUCUGUCUUCUGGGACGAUAAUGACGGUACCAGAGGAGGAAGCCACGGCUAACUACGUGCCAGCAGCUGCGGUAAUACGUAGGUGGCAAGCGUUGUCCGGAUUUACUGGGCGUAAAGGAUGCGUAGGCGGAUACUUAAGGCAGAUGUGAAAAUCCCGGGCUUAACUUGGGAACUGCAUUUGAAACUGGGUAUCUAGAGUGCGGGAGAGGAAAGAGGAAUUCCUAGUGUAGCGGUGAAAUGCGUAGAUAUUAGGAAGAACACCAGUGGCGAAGGCGACUUUCUGGACCGAAACUGACGCUGAGGCAUG
rnacentral:rRNA from 1 species